rnacentral:rRNA from 1 species
GAUGAACGCUGGCGGCGUGCCUAAUACAUGCAAGUAGAACGCUGAAGGAAGGAGCUUGCUCUUUCCGGAUGAGUUGCGAACGGGUGAGUAACGCGUAGGUAACCUGCCUGGUAGCGGGGGAUAACUAUUGGAAACGAUAGCUAAUACCGCAUAACAGUAGAUGUUGCAUGAUAUCUACUUAAAAGGUGCAAUUGCACCACUACCAGAUGGACCUGCGUUGUAUUAGCUAGUUGGUGAGGUAACGGCUCACCAAGGCGACGAUACAUAGCCGACCUGAGAGGGUGAUCGGCCACACUGGGAAUGGGGAACGGCCCAAACUCCUACGGGAGGCAGCAGUAAGGAAUCCUCGGGAAUGGACGGAAGUCUGACCGAGCAACGCCGCGUGGGGGGAGAAAGGUUUCGGAUCGUAAAGCUCUGUUGUAAGGGAAGGACGAGUGUGGGAGUGGAAAGUUCACACUGUGACGGUAUCUAACCAGAAAGGGACGGCUAACUACGUG